AGUCCAUCCCAGUGUGAUGGUGCCGCCCCUCAGGUGAACAAUUACCGGGGUCCCGCCCGGGUCCGGGUGUCGUUGGUGACCAAGGACCCCCCCCACCGCCCCCACCCCCACGAGCUGGUGGGCAAAGACUGUCGGGACGGGUUCUACGAGGCAGAGCUGCCCCCCGAGAGGAGCAUCCACAGUUUCCAGAAUUUGGGGAUCCAGUGUGUGAAGAAGCGGGAGCUGGAGGCGGCCGUGGCCGAGCGGAUCCGCACCAACAACAACCCCUUCAACGUGCCUGCGGAGCAGCGGGGGGGUGAAUACGACCUGGCCGCCGUCCGGCUCUGCUUCCAGGUGUGGGUGAGGGGCCCGGGGGGGCUGCGGCCCCUCCCCCCCCCGUCCUGUCCCACCCCGUCUACGACA